GUAGGUGGCAAGCGUUGUCCGGAAUUAUUGGGCGUAAAGCGCGCGCAGGCGGUCCUUUAAGUCUGAUGUGAAAGCCCACGGCUCAACCGUGGAGGGUCAUUGGAAACUGGGGGACUUGAGUACAGAAGAGGAAAGCGGAAUUCCACGUGUAGCGGUGAAAUGCGUAGAGAUGUGGAGGAACACCAGUGGCGAAGGCGGCUUUCUGGUCUGUAACUGACGCUGAGGCGCGAAAGCGUGGGGAGCAAACAGGAUUAGAUACCCUGGUAGUCCACGCCGUAAACGAUGAGUGCUAAGUGUUAGGGGGUUUCCGCCCCCCUUAGUGCUGCAGCUAACGCAUUAAGCACUCCGCCUGGGAGUACGGCCGCAGGCUG
rnacentral:rRNA from 1 species